CGGGCCGUGGCGCAGUUUGGUUAGCGCGCUUGCUUGGGGUGCAAGAGGUCGCCAGUUCGAGUCUGGCCGGUCCGACCA
rnacentral:tRNA from 1 species